UCUCCCAUAGCUCAGCUGGUAGAGCGCACGACUGUUAAUCGUAAGGUCAUGGGUUCGACCCCCAUUGGGAGAG
rnacentral:tRNA from 1 species